rnacentral:rRNA from 1 species
UGGGGAAUAUUGGGCAAUGGGCGAAAGCCUGACCCAGCAACGCCGCGUGAGGGAAGAAGGUUUUCGGAUUGUAAACCUCUGUCCUCAGGGAAGAAGGAAGUGACGGUACCUGGGGAGGAAGCCCCGGCUAACUACGUGCCAGCAGCCGCGGUAAUACGUAGGGGGCGAGCGUUGUCCGGAAUGACUGGGCGUAAAGGGCGCGUAGGCGGCCGAUUAAGUCUGGAGUGAAAGUCCUGUUUUCAAGGCGGGAAUUGCUUUGGAGACUGGUUGGCUUGAGUGCGGAAGAGGCAAGUGGAAUUCCCAGUGUAGCGGUGAAAUGCGUAGAGAUUGGGAGGAACACCAGUGGCGAAGGCGACUUGCUGGGCCGUAACUGACGCUGAAGCGCGAAAGCGUGGGGAGCGAACA